rnacentral:rRNA from 1 species
UACGAAGGGGGCUAGCGUUGCUCGGAAUCACUGGGCGUAAAGGGUGCGUAGGCGGGUCUUUAAGUCAGGGGGGAAAUCCUGGAGCUCAACUCCAGAACUGCCUUUGAUACUGAAGAUCUUGAGUUCGGGAGAGGUGAGUGGAACUGCGAGUGUAGAGGUGAAAUUCGUAGAUAUUCGCAAGAACACCAGUGGCGAAGGCGGCUCACUGGCCCGAUACUGACGCUGAGGCACGAAAGCGUGGGGAGCAAAAGGG